UGCCAUCGACAGCCGCGACGUACCCCUGGACAUUUUGGUUCGACGCUUUGAGGCAACGACCAAUCCAGUGCAGAAAAGAAUGCUGAUGAAGGAGGUUGCUGCCCUGGCAGACAAACAAAACUUUGUGCACGAUCUGAUGUACAACCUCGUCAUAAAAAUGACAAAGGGAGACAUGAUGAUGACUGCAACGGUAAUGAACACAAGAGGGCGCGCUGUUGAGAAUUGGGAUUGCUUCACAGCUGCGGUGCAGACAUUCAGCGACGUGUGCUUCAAAAUGACGGAGCGUGACGAUUAGCCAUUUUCAUUCUGUUCACCGUUCAAAUCAUAUGAUGACGGAUUCCUGUCCUGAGCGAAGCCUGUUCUUCUUUGAAAAUUUAAUCUUCCCUACGCCUGGGGACAAAUGCACGUCCUUGCUAACCUCUGUGACCUGACCAACAGCCAAACAUCCGAUAUCACCUCUGCCCUGAAGGUUGGCUGUUUGUAGGCGAAAAGAUGGAGGCAGCAUUAUCUCAUGAUUAAAACCUAUACAAAGUGAGGAGUCAGAUCGAAUCAAAGCUUUUGGAUUAUGGACCCCUUUUUCGGUCCACUUUUUAAAACUUUGAUUAGAAGUUGAAUAGAAUAUAAAAAAUUUUUCUAUUUUAAAAAUGAGGUACCUUGACUUUUGUGAUUUAUGUGUAAAUAUUCUAGCUUUUUUAAGGUAAAAAAAAAGAAGUCGUUGCUCCUGCAAAAUAGACUGCUAAUCAAUCUUAAUUGUUAUCUGCCAUUCCUAAGAUAAUUUGUGCAUCGAAUGGCUGAAAUAUAUUCUUUCAUGCAUCAGGUUCCAAUUACCGAGCGCCACUGAUUUACGCAUGCUUAAUUCAGAAUCUGAAUUUUCUAAUAUUAAACUAAAAUCAUUCCCAAAUAUUAAGUCACCAUGUGCUGUGCAGAUAUUAAAAUGGUGACUAAUGCACUUUCUCUGUUUAACUGUUCGACUAAAACAAAAUGUUGGGCAAGUUCUCCCCCUCCCCCCAUGAAAAAAAACAAUUAGGGAAAAUAUCGAACGGGAAAAAAGGAAAGAGAGCAAUGCAAACGGGACAUUGGAUGACAAAAACUCUCGCAGUUUCCAUGAAAAUGCCUUGGAUCUUGACUCUCUGUAGUGGAAGUUUGUUAGUCUGCUCCGACUGAGUGCUUGCCCCGCCCCCUUAGAAUGAUUUACAUAAUAUUCCCAAGUAAUUCCUGGCGACGCCUGGGAUGCUGUUGCAGGUAUUGUACUACUGCAAAAACUGUCUUUAGCCAACAAUGUUGAACGUGUUUAGAAUUUUGAUAUAAAGUGUCUCGUUCUUUGACAUUGCAUGAUGUAUAAGAACCAGAUACCAAAUGUUUAGCAUUUAAACCUGUUUUCAAAGUGACGCAAGAUUGUGUUAAAUGCUAAAUUCAGUUUUGUAGAUUGCUUCCUUAUUGAUUUGGUUGCCUCUGAUAUUACAUGUAGUAUUUUCAAUAUAAUUCAGGAUUCGAAUUUUCAACAAAAAUUAUAUAAAAAGCUUUCAAGAAAACUGAUACGAGUCAGACUUUCUUAAGUUACUAUAUAGGCCUAUUCACACUUUUGUAAAAGUUGAUGAAUGUUUCCAUGCAGUAAUUUGUCUUUUAAGAAGGAAUCUACGUCCGUGUGAUAUUCGCCAUUUGCGAGUUAAAUUUGAAUAAAAUCUGGUGCACCGAGU